CGUGUCGUGAGAUGUUGGGUUAAGUCCCGUAACGAGCGCAACCCUUGUCCUUAGUUACCAGCACGUUAAGGUGGGCACUCUAAGGAGACUGCCGGUGACAAACCGGAGGAAGGUGGGGAUGACGUCAAGUCAUCAUGGCCCUUACGGCCUGGGCUACACACGUGCUACAAUGGUCGGUACAAAGGGUUGCCAAGCCGCGAGGUGGAGCUAAUCCCAUAAAACCGAUCGUAGUCCGGAUUGCAGGCUGCAACUCGCCUGCAUGAAGUCGGAAUCGCUAGUAAUCGCGGAUCAGCAUGUCGCGGUGAAUACGUUCCCGGGUCUU
rnacentral:rRNA from 1 species